GCCCUCAUAGUUCAACGGAUUAGAACAAGCCCGUCCUAAGGGUUAGAUGUAGGUUCGAUUCCUGCUGAGGGCA
rnacentral:tRNA from 1 species